rnacentral:rRNA from 1 species
UACGUAGGGUGCGAGCGUUAAUCGGAAUUACUGGGCGUAAAGCGUGCGCAGGCGGUUUUGUAAGCCAGAUGUGAAAUCCCCGAGCUUAACUUGGGAACUGCAUUUGGGACUGCAAGGCUAGAGUACGGCAGAGGGGGGUAGAAUUCCUGGUGUAGCAGUGAAAUGCGUAGAUAUCAGGAGGAAUACCGACGGCGAAGGCAGCCCCCUGGGUCGAUACUGACGCUCAUGCACGAAAGCGUGGGGAGCAAACAGG